UCUCAUUGGAUCUAUGGUUAGUGAUGACGCUUUGUCAUACCCGUUACGGUGGUUCUUCUCAGCCUAUGUCCUUUGAGUUUCUUUUUCUUAGAUCUGGGUCGGUUCUUGUCUCUUAAAGAUGGGUUUUGCCGGAUCGGUUUCUUAUCAACUCGGUCAAAGAGAUUUCGAUAUUUUGUUGAAGAUAGAAGUUUCUUCUGUUGCUUAUCUCAAUGCCUUAAGUUGUUACCUUUAAAUUGGAGCUUCGAUGUUUUCAAUUCGGUGGUAAACACAAGAGUCAUCGCACGAUUUCAUCUCGGCGAGAAUUUCUCACCGGAAUCGGCGCUCAACGGCUAAGGUUGUUGCCGAAAAUCUUUUGAUCACUCAUCAGUGAUAGCAAAAUUAUCUCAUGGAGACCCGAUAACAACUUAUCGGACAUGAAUAAAAUUUGAUCGCAUAGGUAAGAUAAUUUUAUCGUUACUUUUUAGUAAUUCUUUUCAUCAAACUUAAUUUUUAUUUGCGAAUAGGAGUUGGAUAUGGAAAUAGAUUUCUAUGUUGCAUCUCUCAAAUGAUAUUUUUAGAUCUCCUCAUCGAUCUCCAAUCUCGCCUUCUCCAAUACUACUGGAUUGCUCGGUAAAUUUCGCCAUCGGCCACUCUAGUGUUACGGUAGAGAUUUCAGUCCCAGGGAACAUCAUUUCCUUCACAACAAAUCAGAGGAGAGUUGAUGAAGGCUUCAAAGAGGUGAAGGCUUCAAAGAGUGUGGAAUUGUUCUCCUCUACUUUGGGCAGAGGUAAGUUAUUCUUGUCUCUGUUAAAAAUCAAAUAACAGAAAAGGUUUUAGCAUUGAAGAUGGAGAUAAUUUAGGAACAUUAUACCUCACUCAAGAUUUCCGGGUAGAUAUGGCAGGUUUUAUGUUUCAACAAUCUUGGACUAAUGCCAUAAGAUGUAUUCGUUUUAUGGAAGUAUUAUGGGCCAUAUGUUUUAGCAUUAACUGCUCUUCAAUAAUGCAAUCAAGAUGAGUUGUAUCUUUAUCAUAAAAUUUAUGACAAAAUUUCUUUCUUUUCUUUGAGAAGUCAGAGAAUCCAAUAGAUCACCAAAAUUCCAGUAUUUGUAUUUCUUCUGACUAGUUUUAUAUAUUAAACGGAUUUUUAA